rnacentral:sRNA from 1 species
GCAGCCGCAAAAUCGGUUGCCGGGAUUAGCCUCCUGAAAGUUAAACGUGCGCACAGCCGCGCCAGCGGUUUUUUU